rnacentral:rRNA from 1 species
AUACGUAGGUGGCGAGCGUUGUCCGGAAUUAUUGGGCGUAAAGAGCAUGUAGGCGGCUUAAUAAGUCGAGCGUGAAAAUGCGGGGCUCAACCCCGUAUGGCGCUGGAAACUGUUAGGCUUGAGUGCAGGAGAGGAAAGGGGAAUUCCCAGUGUAGCGGUGAAAUGCGUAGAUAUUGGGAGGAACACCAGUGGCGAAGGCGCUUUUCUGGACAUUGUCUGACGCUGAGAUGCGAAAGCCAGGGUAGCGAACGGGAGUAGAUACCCCGGUAGACCUGGCCGUAAACGAUGGGUACUAGGUGUAGGAGGUAUCGACCCCUUCUGUGCCGGAGUUAACGCAAUAAGUACCCCGCCUGGGGAGUACGGCCGCAAGGUUGAAACUUAAAGGAAUUGACGGGG